rnacentral:lncRNA from 1 species
GUGCGUCUAGAAAGGCUGAGGGGGAGCGCGCCCGGGCCGCGGCGGGAGGGGGUCCCGGCCUCGCCUCGCCUCCUCGCUCGUUACCUGCACGCCGUGCACGAUGUAAACCUUUUCCGCCUCGCUCAGCGCCACGGACGCCAUGAUGCCCCGUCCGGCCGCGCUUCGGCCCCCGCCGCCGCCUCCGAACCCUCCCCUAGGCGCUGGUCCGGACGUCGCGCUCUCCGCACGACUGUGGCGUCAUCCGCCCGCGCCGGCCCCCGGGGGCCGCUCCCCUCUGCGUCAUCAGCGAGCGGCGGCCGCUCCUGCCGCCGCCGCCGCCGCCGCCGCCCGCCCGGAGCCCGAUGGGCUGCUCCUGCGCCCCGCCCCGGAGUCUGGGUGAGUCCCGGGAUCCGCGGCCCCCGAGCCCGGGAGCGGCCGCGGCCCCCAGCGCGGAGGCGGGAGGGCGAGGGGGCGGCGACGGCAGCGCCGGGGACAGUUGGGGACGGACCGAGGGCAAGAGGGCGGCCCCGGCACCUGCCGGCCGACCGGCAAGGCUUUUCCGCUCCGAACUGGAGUUGGACUAAGUCCGCCGGAGCGAGCCGCAGCUGCCUCGGGAGCUGCGUGCUCCCCAGGUCCCGCUCACCCCUGCCCGCUCUUCCCCGUCCUCUGACUGUGUUUGUCCGGCUCUCGCUGCCUUCCCGUCCGGCACUCCUCUUCAGCUGCCCUUUCUCCCCUGCCACCUGCUGCCCCUCCCGGUCUCCAUUAUCACCCUCCCUUCCGGCUCCUCUGUUACUCUCUGCCUCUCCCUUUGCUCCUCUUUACCCCUGCCCCUCCCCCUCCCCAUUGUCACCCUCAUCCCUCCCCUUGCUCCCCUAUUACCCCCUGCCCCUCCUUGUGCUCGCCUUUCUCCCUCGCCGGUCCCCUAUUACUCCCUGCCCCUCCCUUUGUUCACCUUUCCCCCUCUCCCGCUCCAUUAUCAUCCCUUGCCCCUCCCUUUGCUCUUCCCCCCCUCACCCCGUGCUCCUCGCCCACCACCCCUGGGUCCCUCUCUCUCCUGCCCCUCCCCUUGCUCCCCUUUUCUAUUUGCCGCUUCCCCAUCCUCCAUCACUCUCUGUCUCUCGCCUUGCUCCCCUUUUCCCUGUUUUUCUCCUGGCUACCCUUCUGCCCUGCUUCUCUGCUCCCCUCUUCCCUUCCUUCACCUCCCCUAGCUGGGGGAAGCCGAAAGGAUUCUGGACUUUGAGGAGAUUCAAAUCUCUGCACCAGUGUGACAUUUGUUGGCUGUGUGACCAUGAACAAAUCACUUAA